GUCCACGCUGUAAACGAUGGGCACUAGGUGUUCGGGGUAUUGACCCCCUGAGUGCCGCAGCUAACGCAUUAAGUGCCCCGCCUGGGGACUACGGCCGCAAGGCUAAAACUCAAAGGAAUUGACGGGGCCCGCACAAGCGGUGGAGCAUGUGGUUUAAUUCGACGCAACGCGAAGAACCUUACCUGGGCUAGACAACAUCGGACACCCCCAGAAAUGGGGUCUCCCCGCAAGGGGCCGUGGUUCAGGUGCUGCAUGGCUGUCGU
rnacentral:rRNA from 1 species